AAGUCGUAACAAGGUUUCCGUAGGUGAACCUGCGGAAGGAUCAUUAACACGUUUAUCCAACGUACCAACCAACGAGAACCGUUUUCAAAUGCUCCCGGAGGCAAGGAAUGAGUGGAUAGUCCGACUGAGGUGUUGAAAGGGAUUGCUUCGGCGUCAGCCUCUAUCUUACCACUUAAAUCUAAACAUCUGUGUUUUCACACGGGUGUUUGGGUUUAGACACUGUAUUCUUGCCAAAGGUUAUAAAUUCUGCGCAGGGUGUCCCCUUUCAUUGACUUCUGCCGCAGGUCCUUAUCCUUUUUACCUAUUUCACCCCCAAUUUUGCUAGUUGACUUUAUUCUGUUGCGCUGUCUUGCCUAACGGCAGACGCUCGGUGCAGCACGUUUGAUCUAAUUGAACGUUAAACACAAUACAACUCUUAGCAAUGGAUAUCUUGGUUCUC
rnacentral:misc_RNA from 1 species